ACUCAAAGGAAUAGACGGGGGCCCGCACAAGCGGUGGAUGAUGUGGUUUAAUUCGAUGCAACGCGUAAAACCUUACCUACCCUUGACAUGCUAGGAAGUCCGAUGAAAGUUGGAUGUGCCCGAAAGGGAACCUAGACACAGGUGCUGCAUGGCUGUCGUCAGCUCGUGUCGUGAGAUGUUGGGUUAAGUCCCGCAACGAGCGCAACCCUUGCCAUUAGUUGCUACAUUCAGUUGAGCACUCUAAUGGGACUGCCGGUGACAAACCGGAGGAAGGUGGGGAUGACGUCAAGUCCUCAUGGCCCUUAUGGGUAGGGCUACACACGUCAUACAAUGGUCGGUACAGAGGGUCGCCAACCCGCGAGGGGGAGCCAAUCUCAGAAAGCCGAUCGUAGUCCGGAUUGCAGUCUGCAACUCGACUGCAUGAAGUCGGAAUCGCUAGUAAUCGCGGAUCAGCAUGUCGCGGUGAAUACGUUCCCGGGCCUUGCACACACCGCCCGU
rnacentral:rRNA from 1 species